rnacentral:misc_RNA from 1 species
UAGGGGGUGGGGGUGGUUGAGGGAGUCUGGGCAGUCCGUGGGGAACCCCCUUUAUCGGUUCGGACUUUGGGUAGCGAUCGAGGGAUGGUAUCGGAUAUCGACACGAGGAAUGACCGAUCGUCCGGCCGCCGGGAUUUUCGCCGGAAAACUUUUCCGGCGACUUUUCCGGCGAUCGGUUUUGUUGCCUUUUCUCCGAGUUUUCUCAGCAGCUUCUCGGACAAAAACUGCUGAAUCGUCGAGGAGAAUGGGCUUGUUCUUGGCGGGCUGCCAUUAGUUCUUCGGGAGGCGUUAGGGGUGGCUGGCGGUAUAAAAGUGCGUCGGAGUUUUUUCUGCAGUUCUCGGACAAAAUUGCUGAGUGGCCGAGAAGAAUGCUGGGCGUGUCAUGCGUGGGCUGACAUGGAUUCUUCUCGAGGCCUAGGGGUGGCGGUAUAACUUGUUCGCAUGAUAUUACCGAGAUGUCCCCACGGGCAUCUUUUUCACCCUCGUCGCCGAAGAGAAUGGGCGUGUCAUGGCAUGGGCUGACAUGGAUUCUCCUGUGGGCCGUUUGGGUGGCGGUGGUAUAGUCGUCUUGCGCACGAAAUACCGAGAUGUGUCCCCAUGGGCACGUCGAUUCCACCCGCCUAGUGCUUGAUGGGCGUGCUUGCCUGGAAAGCAUGGAUCCGCCUUAGGCUGUGUCCCUUCCGAGUGUGAGCGAGGUGUGAGUGCUCGCCCAUGGGUAAUCGACACCUUGCGGCUAGGGAACUGGAACGAGACGGGUGGCAAAGAUUUCGAGUAAAGCACUUCAUACUACCGUGGGUUUUUUAAACCUUCCCCUAGUUUUGCUUGAUGUUAUCUCCGAGAAUUAGCAAACCAGUAACGAAGAUGUUCUUGGCAAAAUCCAUCUUUUGAUGGGAGUCCGGCUGGAAAAUCGAUAGCCGCGGCCAAGGCGUGAUGAACGAAAUGUGAACCCCUUGUCUCGCCUAGGCUUGAUGGGCGUGCUUCGUUGGAAAGCAUGGAUCCGCCUAGGCUGUCCCGAGUGUGAGCGAGGUGUGGAGUGUCGCCCAUGGGCAUCGACAACCUUGCGGCUAGGAACCUGGAACGAGACGGGUAGCAAAGAUUUCGAAAGUAGCACUUCCUUCAUACUACCGUGGGUUUUUUAAACCUUCCUUAGUUUCUUGCUUCGAUGUUAUUCCGAGAAUUAGCAAACCGUAACGAAGAUGUUCUUGGCAACCAUCUUUUGAUGGGAGUCCGGUCUGUUCGAAAGCUUCCGGCCACAAGGGUGAUGAACGAAAUGUGAACCCUUGUCUCGCCUAGGUUGGAUGUGAAGUGCUUCGUUGAAAGCUAUGGAUCCGCCUAGGCUGUCCCCGAAGGUAUCUCGCGCUUGUACGGCUUUGGCUCGGAUUCGUCCGUCUUCUUCUUCUUAGCCGAGUACUUCGGUAGAUUAGUUGGAACGAUUGAUGAUUCUUGAGUUAAUUGAACGUUCGGCGUAUGAGUGGUGAUCGGAUAGCUAGGUGUUCGUAGGGCUCCAUGCUCGCGCAUCGAACUACCUACCACCUUAUCCUUCUCUCAGUUAAUUCCACGGGCGAUGUUACGCUCGAUGAUGAGUUCCGGGGCCUGUGUUUCGUACCUAAUUUGAAGUUGAAUUAAGUUGAGUUUCGUUUACACCCAUGCCCGCGUGGCUUCUCCCUUCGUGGGGAAGUCGUGGGCACAAACAUCGGGCGCUUGUUCACCUCCUCGUCAUCGCAUUUGUUGCCUUGCUCGCAUUGGUGAAUGAGUUGCGUGGUUGAAAUGGCUCGGAUGCGAAAAGUUGUCGACGGUGACUCGAAGUGAUUCAGUCCCGUCAAAGUCUCAUCCGUCCUUCGGGCAAAGAUGACGGUCAAGACCUCGGUCCUUUCUUUCUCUCUUCCAUUGCGUUUGAGAGGAUGUGGCGGGGAAUUGCCGUGAUCGAUGAAUGC